GACGAACGCUGGCGGCGUGCUUAACACAUGCAAGUCGAACGAUGAAGCCGGAGCUUGCUCUGGUGAAUUAGUGGCGCACGGGUGAGUAACACGUGAGUACCCUGCCCUUGACUCUGGGAUAACUGCUAGAAAUGGUAGCUAAUCCCGGAUACGACCCUCGGCGGCAUCGCCAGGGGGUGGAAAGAAUUUCGGUCAAGGAUGGACUCGCGGCCUAUCAGCUCGUUGGGGAGGUAACGGCUCACCAAGGCGACGACGGGUAGCCGGCCUGAGAGGGUGACCGGCCACACUGGGACUGAGACACGGCCCAGACUCCUACGGGAGGCAGCAGUGGGGAAUAUUGCACAAUGGGCGCAAGCCUGAUGCAGCAACGCCGCGUGAGGGAUGACGGCCUUCGGGUUGUAAACCUCUUUUAGUAGGGAAGAAGCGAAAGUGACGGUACCUGCAGAAAAAGCACCGGCUAACUACGUGCCAGCAGCCGCCGUAA
rnacentral:rRNA from 1 species